GACGAACGCUGGCGGCGUGCCUAAUACAUGCAAGUAGAACGCUGAAGCGAGGAGCUUGCUCUUCUUGGAUGAGUUGCGAACGGGUGAGUAACGCGUAGGUAACCUGCCUUGUAGCGGGGGAUAACUAUUGGAAACGAUAGCUAAUACCGCAUAACAAUGGAUGACACAUGUCAUUUAUUUGAAAGGGGCAAUUGCUCCACUACAAGAUGGACCUGCGUUGUAUUAGCUAGUAGGUGAGGUAAUGGCUCACCUAGGCGACGAUACAUAGCCGACCUGAGGGGGUGAUCGGCCACACUGGGACUGAGACACGGCCCAGACUCCUACGGGAGGCAGCAGUAGGGAAUCUUCGGCAAUGGGGGCAACCCUGACCGAGCAACGCCGCGUGAGUGAAGAAGGUUUUCGGAUCGUAAAGCUCUGUUGUAAGUCAAGAACGGGUGUGAGAGUGGAAAGUUCACACUGUGACGGUAGCUUACCAGAAAGGGACGGCUAACUACGUG
rnacentral:rRNA from 1 species